GGCGGGGCUGGGGGAGAGACCCAACCCCAAACAUUGGUGGAGCCGGGCCCCCAGGCCCUGAAUUUUCUGGCGCAUGGGCACCAUGGGCCCAUAUAACUCACCGUCCAUGGGUUUAUUUGACCACCUCUGUGGUGGUUUCUUCUCAUUCACCAGACAUACUGCCAUAGGUCAACCAGAGAAAUCACGGGAUUUACCAGGACACUGCAACUAACAACUCCAAUACACACGGAGGCCAAAGAGUGUGCUUAUUCACCUAAAAAGGAGAGAAAUUCCUGGUCUCCAUAGGACACUCCUCAAAUAAGGAGACAAGGUCCUUGCCCCCAAAGAAUUUCCAGUCUACAUAUUGGAUUUGGUUAGCACUUUGCAGUGCAGAGCUGGAAGAUAGGAAGCUAGGAACCCUGAAGAAGUUGUUCGUGUCUUGAGGUCAUUGAGGCCUGAUAUGAAUGACGCGUACUUGACAUGAAUACGUGCGUUGAAAGUUGGCAACUGAAGCAAGAACUUAAGGUCAAGGACUAUUAGAACUAUUUGGGCAAAAACAAUCUUAUGUUCCAAGAAAAAUACAGAAAAUCAUCAGAAAAGGAAACAACACCAGCUGGACUGAUAUAAAAUUGUAUAAGAAUUGGAGGAAAUGGCACAUUGGAUCAUGGCGGCCUGCCCAGGAUUGUGUCUUUGGAAUUGUGUGGGUAGAAGGACUAGUAAACGAAGGCAAAGAACGGAUGACACAAUGGAAUGCGUAUAAAUGGUUUCCUAUGAUUUUUACAAAUCAGAAUUGUUUAUUGAUCCAGAGCCCCAUGUGGAUAUAGAUGUGGUUUUUGCUGGCUCCCUGCAUCUUAUGAUCUUAUCCUGACGGAAGGAACCUCAACUGACCAUUGGGACCAUUCUGACCUUUGGACUCUGGCAUAGUAUGUUUGGGGUGUGAAUGUGGAGUGAGAAAGGUUUGUUUUGUAAUCAGUAAAGAGCAUUUAGAGUAUUAUAUACCAACACAGCAUCCGCUGUCUACUUGCUUCCCAUCCCGUAGGGAGACCUCUACUGCGGGUCUAACACAAGGUCGUCCGCCUAAGAAUGCUGGUCUUGGCUGCAGAAUGGGCAACUGUAUCCUAGAAAGCAGUGGCUCUGAAAAGGAUUUAGGGGUCACAGUUGACAGACAUCUGAACAUGAGCCCCGAGUGUGAUCCUGUGGCGAAAAGGGCUAAUGUGAUGUUUGGAUGUAUAAUCAGAGGAGUAAUAAGUAGGGCAAGAGUGAUUUUACUCCUGUGUACCACAUUGGUGAGACUGAUACGAUAAUACUGUGUACAGUUCUUGUAGUCACAUUUUACAAAUCAUGUUGAAACACUGGAGAGGAGCCACAAAAUGAUCACAGGGCUAGACAAAAUACCUCACAGUGAGGGACUUAGAGCUCAAUGUGUGCAGCUUCUCAAAAAGAAGAUUCAGAGGUGCGGUGACUUGAUUACAAUUUAAAUGCCUUUACGGGGAGAAAAUGCUGGGCCCUAGAGGGCUGUUUAAUGUAAUGGAGGAAGAGCCACUGCCAAGGACUGCAAAAUGAAGCAAAACAAAUUUGAAUUAGGAAUAAAUUCCCAAGUUUUAAAGGUGAGGGUGAUUAACCACUGGAACAAACUUGUGAGGGAAGUGGUGGAUCUCUGUCUCUUGAUGUCUUCAGAUCAAGGCUGGAUGCCUUUCUAGGUGUUCUUUAGGCAAACAUAAGUUAUUGGCAAAAAGAACAGAAGGACUUGUGGCACCUUAGAGACGAACAAAUUU